rnacentral:rRNA from 1 species
AGCGAACGCUGGCGGCAGGCCUAACACAUGCAAGUCGAACGAACCUUUCGGGGUUAGUGGCGGACGGGUGAGUAACACGUGGGAACGUGCCUUUAGGUUCGGAAUAACUCAGGGAAACUUGUGCUAAUACCGAAUGUGCCCUUCGGGGGAUAGAUUUAUCGCCUUUAGAGCGGCCCGCGUCUGAUUAGCUAGUUGGUUGAGGUAAUGGCUCACCAAGGCGACGAUCAGUAGCUGGUCUGAGAGGAUGAUCAGCCACAUUGGGACUGAGACACGGCCCAAACUCCUACGGGAGGCAGCAGUGGGGAAUCUUGCGCAAUGGGCGAAAGCCUGACGCAGCCCUGCCGCGUGAAUGAUGAAGGUCUUAGGAUUGUAAAAUUCUUUCACCGGGGACGAUAAUGACGGUACCCGGAGAAGAAGCCCCGGCUAACUUCGUG